AGAUUAUAUAGCGAAAAUAACAUAAGAUCGUAGAAGUUAAAGACGUAAACAUAUUUUGUUAAUAAAUUAUGAGAACUAAACUAGAAAAAUAAUAACUGUUAAUAAUGUGAUGAUUGAGGUUAAAUUUUGAAAGUGAAAUUUGAUGCUGAUACUACGACUUCAGUGUCGGACAUAUCGCCGGGUAUUUUUUAUGUGUGUAUAUUUUUGACAGAUGAUACAUUGCUCUAACUAAAAAGUUAGAUGACAUUUUGUUUUCUAAGCGUAAGACACCAAAACUUCAAGUAAGAUGCUUUGGAGGCUGUGAUAUCACUGGAGUUACACGCGUGUUGAAAAACUUGACCAAAAUUUCCAAGAAACAAAUAGAUGGGGACCCGAGCUGCAGCGUUUGCAGCUAAAAUCAGAAACCUUCAGGACUACCACACAAGGAUACUGAAAGGAACUGUUCCACUUCCAAAUGGCAUUGAUGUUACUAAUACUUUGAAAUACUUUUCACAGACACU